rnacentral:rRNA from 1 species
GACGAACGCUGGCGGCGUGCUUAACACAUGCAAGUCGAACGAUGAAGCCGGAGCUUGCUCUGGUGAAUUAGUGGCGAACGGGUGAGUAACACGUGAGUAACCUGCCCUUGACUCUGGGAUAACUGCUAGAAAUGGUAGCUAAUACCGGAUACGACCCUCGGCGGCAUCGCCAGGGGGUGGAAAGAAUUUCGGUCAAGGAUGGACUCGCGGCCUAUCAGCUAGUUGGUGAGGUAACGGCUCACCAAGGCGACGACGGGUAGCCGGCCUGAGAGGGUAACCGGCCACACUGGGACUGAGGCACGGCCCAGACUCCUACGGGAGGCAGCAGUGGGGAAUAUUGCACAAUGGGCGCAAGCCUGAUGCAGCAACGCCGCGUGAGGGAUGACGGCCUUCGGGUUGUAAACCUCUUUUAGUAGGGAAGAAGCGAAAGUGACGGUACCUGCAGAAAAAGCACCGGCUAACUACGUGCCAGCCGCCGCCGUAA